rnacentral:rRNA from 1 species
AGCUGUGAAGUUUCAGGAUGGAUCACUUAGUGGCGGACGGGUGAGUAACGCGUGGGUACCUGCCUCACACUGGGGGAUAACAGUUAGAAAUAGCUGCUAAUACCGCAUAAGUCCGCAUGGAAAAAACUCCGGUGGUGUGAGAUGGACCCGCGUCUGAUUAGCCAGUUGGCGGGGUAACGGCCCACCAAAGCGACGAUCAGUAGCCGGCCUGAGAGGGUGAACGGCCACAUUGGGACUGAGACACGGCCCAAACUCCUACGGGAGGCAGCAGUGGGGAAUAUUGCACAAUGGGGGAAACCCUGAUGCAGCGACGCCGCGUGAGUGAAGAAGUAUUUCGGUAUGUAAAGCUCUAUCAGCAGGGAAGAAGUGACGGUACCUGAAUAAGAAGCCCCGGCUAACUACGUGCCAGCAGCCGCGGUAAUACGUAGGGGGCAAGCGUUAUCCGGAUUUACUGGGUGUAAAGGGAGCGUAGACGGCAAGGCAAGUCUGAAGUGAAAGCCCGGUGCUUAACGCCGGGACUGCUUUGGAAACUGUUUGGCUGGAGUGCCGGAGAGGUAAGCGGAAUUCCUAGUGUAGCGGUGAAAUGCGUAGAUAUUAGGAAGAACACCAGUGGCGAAGGCGGCUUACUGGACG